AAUAACAUAACUAUUUAUGAAAUAAUCUAACACCUAAAAUUAUGAAAUAUUUGAAUUUCAAUUAAAAUAAUUAAAUUCUUUUCUAGUUAAAUAUUUAAAAUUAUAAUUCCAGCUUACAAAUCAAAGUUAGAAAUUAUAGGAACCAAGAUUUAAGAAUUGGGUCAAAAACAAAAUCAAAUAAAUAGAAAUAAAAAAAUACAAACAAUUUAAUUAUUUAAUUAUGUCAAAAUUAAGGAUACAACAUGUAUUUAAAUUAUUUUAAUUGUAUAUAAUAUAUAAAAAAAUGAGGAGGUCAAAGGCUCACCUAAGUGCUUGGUCUUUCUCUAUUCCUCUUAAUUAUAAUAUAUCAAUUUUUUUUAAAAAAAAUUGAGGUAUGCGCUGGGUCCGCCCUUGAGUAUAAUUGCAUUGUCCACUUUUUGAAUAGUUAUAA
rnacentral:misc_RNA from 1 species